rnacentral:lncRNA from 1 species
GUGAGAGGCAUAGGAUGGGACAGAAGGAGAUGCUAAACAGUGAUGCAGAAGCAGCGAAGACCUCCGCAAUCCUGCAGGGAAGCUUGGGAGCUGGUACGGCCCUGCAGAGAUGCACUGAGCCUGACUGCUGCUGGAGCCCAGUGUGAGUCCUGGCAGAAGAAAUCUGCAAACCCUAGUCAGAUGUGUUUCAGCUUUGCAGUGGAUGGUAGGGCCACCCUCCCGUUGGGGUCAGGUCAGAGGACAUGACUCUUUAACAUUACUGAAAUUACAAGUUUCUUGAAUACAAGAUGAAGGAAGAGGUCAAAUAUCAAGUAGGAAGCCAAGCUGCCAUGUUGUAAGCUGCCCUAUGAAGGGACCCACAUGGCAAAGAAUGGAGAAUGACCCCAGCCAGCCAAGAACUCUCAGCCUACCGGCCCAUGAGGAACUGAAUCCUGCCAACAGCGAUGUGAGUGAACUUGGAAGUGGAUCCUUCUCCAGUGGCACCAUCAGCAAGAAGGCCCUCACCAGAUGCAGGCCUCUCAACCUUGGACUUUCCAGCCUCCAGAAUUGUAAGAAAUAAAUCUCUAUUCUUUAUAAAUUA